CCUACGGGUGGCUGCAGUGGGGAAUAUUGGACAAUGGGGGGAACCCUGAUCCAGCCAUGCCGCGUGUGUGAAGAAGGCCCUCGGGUUGUAAAGCACUUUCAGUGAGGAAGAACGCCUGGUGGUUAAUACCCAUCAGGAAAGACAUCACUCACAGAAGAAGCACCGGCUAACUCCGUGCCAGCAGCCGCGGUAAUACGGAGGGUGCGAGCGUUAAUCGGAAUUACUGGGCGUAAAGCGCGCGUAGGUGGCUUGAUAAGCCGGUUGUGAAAGCCCCGGGCUCAACCUGGGAACGGCAUCCGGAACUGUCAAGCUAGAGUGCAGGAGAGGAAGGUAGAAUUCCCGGUGUAGCGGUGAAAUGCGUAGAGAUCGGGAGGAAUACCAGUGGCGAAGGCGGCCUUCUGGACUGACACUGACACUGAGGUGCGAAAGCGUGGGUAGCAAACCGGAUUAGAUACCCUAGUAGUC
rnacentral:rRNA from 1 species